GAUUCGUCACACUAUCAUUAACUGAAUCCAUAGGUUAAUGAGGCGAACCGGGGGAACUGAAACAUCUAAGUACCCCGAGGAAAAGAAAUCAACCGAGAUUCCCCCAGUAGCGGCGAGCGAACGGGGAGGAGCCCAGAGCCUGAAUCAGCAUGUGUGUUAGUGGAAGCGUCUGGAAAGGCGCGCGAUACAGGGUGACAGCCCCGUACACAAAAGCGCAUGUGCUGUGAGCUCGAUGAGUAGGGCGGGACACGUGGUAUCCUGUCUGAAUAUGGGGGGACCAUCCUCCAAGGCUAAAUACUCCUGACUGACCGAUAGUGAACCAGUACCGUGAGGGAAAGGCGAAAAGAACCCCGGCGAGGGGAGUGAAAAAGAACCUGAAACCGUGUACGUACAAGCAGUGGGAGCACAGGUUUACCUGUGUGACUGCGUACCUUUUGUAUAAUGGGUCAGCGACUUAUAUUCUGUAGCAAGGUUAACCGUAUAGGGGAGCCGUAGGGAAACCGAGUCUUAAC
rnacentral:rRNA from 1 species